UGGGGAAUAUUGCGCAAUGGGGGCAACCCUGACGCAGCCAUGCCGCGUGAAUGAAGAAGGCCUUCGGGUUGUAAAGUUCUUUCGGUAGCGAGGAAGGUGGUUAGUUUAAUAGGCUAGCCAAUUGACGUUAACUACAGAAGAAGCACCGGCUAACUCCGUGCCAGCAGCCGCGGUAAUACGGAGGGUGCGAGCGUUAAUCGGAAUAACUGGGCGUAAAGGGCACGCAGGCGGACUUUUAAGUGAGGUGUGAAAGCCCCGGGCUUAACCUGGGAAUUGCAUUUCAGACUGGGAGUCUAGAGUACUUUAGGGAGGGGUAGAAUUCCACGUGUAGCGGUGAAAUGCGUAGAGAUGUGGAGGAAUACCGAAGGCGAAGGCAGCCCCUUGGGAAUGUACUGACGCUCAUGUGCGAAAGCGUGGGGAGCAAACA
rnacentral:rRNA from 2 species